rnacentral:rRNA from 1 species
GACGAACGCUGGCGGCGUGCUUAACACAUGCAAGUCGAGCGGAAAGGCCCUUUCGGGGGUACUCGAGCGGCGAACGGGUGAGUAACACGUGAGUAAUCUGCCCUCCACUCUGGGAUAACGUUCAGAAAUGGGUGCUAAUACCGGAUGUACACAGGCUGACGCACGUUGGUGUGUGGAAAGGUUUUCUGGUGGGGGAUGUGCUCGCGGCCUAUCAGCUUGUUGGUGGGGUAAUGGCCUACCAAGGCUUUGACGGGUAGCCGGCCUGAGAGGGUGACCGGCCACACUGGGACUGAGACACGGCCCAGACUCCUACGGGAGGCAGCAGUGGGGAAUAUGGGACGAUGGGCGGAAGCCUGAUCCAGCAACGCCGCGUGAGGGAUGACGGCCUUCGGGUUGUAAACCUCUUUCACCAUUGACGAAGCUGCAUCUGUGUGGGUGUGGUGACGGUAGGUGGGGAAGAAGCACCGGCCAACUACGUG